rfam:Nicotiana attenuata strain TT chromosome 10, whole genome shotgun sequence.
UGGACAGAUUAUUUUAUUCGAAUGUAUUCACGGCGUGAAAUAGGGGAUUACACCGUUUUUAAAACGGAAAGUGAAUCAAUUAACAUAAUAGACUCCU